UCUUUACAUUUAAGGUUUAUGUGUCAUGAAAGCAUUCACUGAUAUCAAUUCAUCUUCUGCAACUUCUUCUUUCUCCUUUUUUAUUAUACUGGUCUAAUGAGCCGAUGAACUGGAUAAUCAAGCAUCCUGACUGGUAUAGUAGAUAGCUCAUGAAGUUUAACUGUGAUUCACUGGCUAAACCAGUGACCAAGCUCCCUUUCUGAGUUGCUAACUGGUCCGAGUUUUGCGCCACCAUAUUCGGGAGUAUUGUUGGUGAGAUCUUAUGCCUUUAAUGGCAGAUAUACUGAUCAAUACAGCGUCUGCUGUUAAGGUUUAGAAGAUUUUCACUAUUAACCUCCUUCCAAGCAGCAUUGAAAUUUGGGCAUUUGAGGACCUUUCUAGCUCUAACUGCACUAACUCUGGUUAUAGUAAGCAUGG